rnacentral:rRNA from 1 species
AUACGUAGGUGACAAGCGUUAUCCGGAUUUACUGGGCGUAAAGGGCGUGUAGGCGGUCUUGCAAGUCAGAAGUGAAAUUCCUGAGCUCAACUCGGGCGCUGCUUCUGAAACUGCAGGACUUGAGUGCUGGAGGGGAUAGCGGAAUUCCUAGUGGAGCGGUAAAAUGCGCAGAUAUUAGGAAGAACACCGGUGGCGAAGGGGGAUAUCUGGACAGUAACUGACGCUGAGGCGCGAAAGCGUGGGGAGCAAACAGGAUUAGAUACCCUGUUAGUCCACGCCGUAAACGAUGAAUACUAGGCGUAGGGGGUAUCGACUCCCUCUGUGCCGCAGUUAACACAAUAAGUAUUCCGCCUGGGGAGUACGGCCGCAAGGUUGAAACUCAAAGGAAUUGACGGGG